UCAGAUUCCUAUGAGUUUCAGGAUAAGCCCAUUACUUUAUGAAAAGUCUGUUAGAGUUCUGAUGGCAUUGCACUGGAUCUAUAGGUCUGUUUGAGGAGAACAGACACCUGUAUCUUCCAUUGCAUGAAGGUGACUGCAGAGUGAAUUCUAAUUGGUCUUAAUAAUAAAAUCUGGAGUCAGAUAUUAAGUGUUUGGAGCUAUAAGAUCAAAAGAGCAGAGCAGCCAGCCACUAGUCUUUCCUCUAUGAAAUUCUCAGACCGAAUGGAGUAUCCUGUCUCUACAAGACCUCAGACUGAAUGCCUGGAUCUCCUGCCUUGACCCACCUUAUAUUCCUCUCUUGGCCCAGCCAUAUCCUUUUCAGUCUCCAUCUCCCUAGUGCUAGGAUGAAAGGUGUGUGACACCACAGCACUUUGACAAAAGAUGUGAGCCACCACUGCCUGACUCUGUUUAUUUGUUAAACUGGAUCAAUGUAAUGUAGCCCAGGACGGCCUUGAAUUCUUGAGUGUGGGGAAAGGUGAGUGCCAACACUGCCUGGCCUCUCUGGCUAACUGGUGGAUAUCUGCACACACUGAUCCUCAGGCAAGCUUUAUUGCCAUGGGACAAAAAAAUAUCACCACAGUACUAACAACAGAUUAGUACUCCUGUGUUUUCCCAUCAGUCACGCAGAUUUUAGCAGUGUCUGCUAUGGGCUGUGUACAGAGGAGGUAUUUUAUAGAUGAUUCUUGCCAUAUGGAUUAUGACCAUGACACUUGCUAAGUGUUGCUCUGAUACCUACUUCCCUGUGCACUUACUAGUCUACAAGCAUUGCUUGUCUUUGAGUAAAGUUUCCUUCUUUUUCUCUUUUGAUUAUUAAUGUAUUUACUCAUGUGUUUGUGUCUAUUCAGAAACACUUAUUUUUUUUAAAGGAGUGCUCCUUUGUCACCAUUAUACAUUCUGAUACUUAAAUUAUCCUAUAACGUGCCCAUGAGAGGACACAAAUUCAAGUGGACCUGCUCUUCAUUUGUUAUCUGCUUAGAAUUCUGGAUUAUCUGACCACCCAUGGAAGACAGUCACCAGAAAAUGCUACUUGUCAGUGACACUUUGUGUCCUCUUUCUGUCAAUGUCAGCUCUCUUCUAUGAUAAGAAAAACAGGAAGGCAGAGAGAACACGCAGAAGGUUGACAAGAAGCUGACAUGAGCCCUUAUUCCUAGUAUGUGAGAGUCGUAAGAGCAACUGGUGUGUGUGUAUACAUGUGUGUGCAUGUGUGUGUGUGUGUGUGUGUGUGUGUAUAGGAAGGGUCUGUGAGAUGAACAAAGAAGAGGAAGAUGUCACUGCACAUCUUUGACUUGACUGGAUGCAGACAGACUACUCCAUCCCUAUAUUCAGUACAGUAGAGUGCAUGAGCAUUCUCAUCUGCCUUCCUCCCCUCUCCAUGAGCUUUCUCUCCCCUUUCUCUGCCUUCUAGUAGAACAGGGGAGAAAACUGCGAACUCUCCAUGCAGAACCAGCUCCUGGAGAAGAACCAAGUGUGGUGUGGUCUUGUCAGUCUGUUACCUAGCAAGAGUGACAAGAUCAUGUGGGACUUACCAGGGUUGGACAGAAGUACCAAGACUGUGGAAUUCUUGGCCCAUCUGAUGGCUCACCAGGCAAAGGUGCUUGCAGCCCAGCCCAACGAGUUUGAGGCCUGAAUCCUACUUGGUGGAAGAAAGGAACCAACUCCUGCAAAUUGUCUUCUGAGCUUCACACUCAUUUUCUGGAAUGAACACACCACAUACCAGCACAAUAAAUAUAUACAAUAAAUUCUUGUUAAA